rnacentral:rRNA from 1 species
UACGUAGGGGGCAAGCGUUGUCCGGAAUUAUGGGGCGUAAAGAGCGUGUAGGCGGUCCGGUAAGUCAGCUGUGAAAGUCAAGGGCUCAACCCUUGAAUGCCGGUUGAUACUGUCGGGCUAGAGUCCGGAAGAGGCGAGUGGAAUUCCCGGUGUAGCGGUGAAAUGCGCAGAUAUCGGGAGGAACACCAAUGGCGAAGGCAGCUCGCUGGGACGGUACUGACGCUGAGACGCGAAAGCGUGGGGAGCAAACAGG